rnacentral:rRNA from 1 species
AGAUUGAACGCUGGCGGCAUGCCUUACACAUGCAAGUCGAACGGUAACAGGUUAAGCUGACGAGUGGCGAACGGGUGAGUAAUAUAUCGGAACGUGCCCAGUCGUGGGGGAUAACUGCUCGAAAGAGCAGCUAAUACCGCAUACGACCUGAGGGUGAAAGCGGGGGAUCGCAAGACCUCGCGCGAUUGGGAGCGGCCGAUAUCAGAUUAGGUAGUUGGGUACGGGGUAAACGGCCCAACCAAGCCAACGAUCUGUAGCUGGUCUGGAGAGGACCGACCAGCCACACUGGGACUGAGACACCGGCCAGACCUCGACGGGACGCGCGAGUGGGAA